GACGAACGCUGGCGGCGUGCUUAACACAUGCAAGUCGAACGGAAAGGCCUGCUUUCCCUUGUGGAUUGCGGGUACUCGAGUGGCGAACGGGUGAGUAACACGUGAGUGAUCUGCCCCCAACUUGGGUAUAAGCCUGGGAACCUGGGUCUAAUUCCCGAUAGGACUGCAGGGUGGUGCCUGUGGUGGAAAACGAUUUUCUAGUGGUUGGGGAUGAGCUCGCGGCCUAUCAGCUUGUUGGUGGGGUAAUGGCCUACCAAGGCGGCGACGGGUAGCCGGCCUGAGAGGGUGGACGGCCACAUUGGGACUGAGAUACGGCCCAGACUCCUACGGGAGGCAGCAGUGGGGAAUAUUGCACAAUGGGCGGAAGCCUGAUGCAGCGACGCCGCGUGGGGGAUGACGGCCUUCGGGUUGUAAACUCCUUUCGACCGCGAGGAAGCCACCUGGUUGGAAGGGUGGUGACGGUAGUGGUAGAAGAAGCACCGGCUAACUACGUG
rnacentral:rRNA from 1 species